UGAGGAGGAAGAUCAUCAAACUUGUUUUAAAAAGGAGUCUAUUGCAAAGUUGUGGUUUGAGUGGAGUGAGUAUUAUGCCCAGCCCGAUUUUGAGAUGGAGACUGUCAAUAUUGAAAACUGUGAUGAUAUGUUUUUGGAAUCACCACGUCUUAAUGAGGAUGUGGUGGCUCUGUACAAAAGGUAGACUGAUUGAGAAGUAUCAAACAGCUCAAGUGUAGAUGUGGUCAUCUAACAAAUGGUGGAUCCGUUGUGCCAAUGAAAGCUUAGGGGGGUCUGACAGGAAAUGCUGUGUUAUUUGCAGACUGCAUAUUAUCUGGCAAUUAUUUUUGUCCAGAACAUGUCAAUGUUCAAACUGAUUGUAAAUAUUUUUCCAUGUCAUAGACUUCUUGUUGUGUAAAUCUCUUUAUUGUGCCUCCUCUUUAAUCUUAUUCCGUAGUAGAUGUUAUAGAUAGAGAUCUGAAAGGAAAUUCGUAGACCUCA